GUGGCUCCCUUCUUCAGCUCCACCUCAGCGGUACUGCUGCCCUUGAUGAGUCCAGUCCGGAUCUCAGGUCCCUUUGUAUCCAGAGCCACCGCAACAGGACGGUAGAGAAUGGGAUCAGAUGCAAAGCUUUCUGUGGCUUCACGAACAUUCUUGAUGGUCUCUGCAUGGUACUCAUGAGUUCCAUGAGAGAAAUUCAGCCGAGCCACAUUCAUUCCAGACUUGAUCAUCUCCUUCAGCAUCUCCACAGAUCGGGAAGCAGGCCCAAUGGUACAAAUGAUGCCAGUGUUGCGGGCCGUGAUGGGGGGAGAGUCAAUGUCCAGGCGGCACAUGUGUUCCAGGAAGGUGUCAGCCAUGGCUGCAUGGAGCUGCUGGGUCUGAAUGAAGGCAGUCCCCGCUUCACUGUGUGGCUUCGGCAUGGUUCCUAAAGUCCUCGGGCAAACUUCGGUUGCUGCUGCGAUACCUAGAGGGAUGUCAGUCGACGCCAUGGUCUGUGCUCCUCACUAUCCCGAUGCGUACUCAAAGGUCCGGUCAAAACUCUUGAUUAUCCCAGCGGCGAGGAAGG
rnacentral:lncRNA from 1 species